GCCGCACACGGGGAGAGACCCACCGACCCUGUGGGGGCUGGUCCCUACAACCCUCAUGUCAUUCCCAAAAUCACCUUCUUCAGACUCUGCUUGAACACUGCAAAGAUUAGUUCCAUUUUGUAAAUUCAGACCACUAGAAAUCAGCACAAAUCUGUUCCAUCACUAUUUCCACUCAAAUUCAUGUAUGCUAUGUAUGUGGAUGAAAACGCAUGCCUCUAUGUCGGCUACCUCAUAAUCCCUAGCAGUCAACCGGAGUGGAGUGCGGCCUCGCCCUUCUGUUGGAUUUAUGCAGUUUGACACUUCCUCAGCCGUUUCCUCCCACAAUUACAAGGUCAGCUGAGAGCUGUGACUCUGCUCUGUGUGUCUUCAUUCUGGGAUCAAGCUCACCUGGGCCAUGUUGAUCUUGGGGAAGGAGAAGGCAAAUGACAAGAGCACGCAAUGGCUCUUCAGUAUCCGCUGGGAAGAGGCACACCACAUUCCCACUGACAUUUUAUGGAAGCAGGCUGUGUGGCCAUGCUUGAGAUCAGUGUGUGGGGAAGUAAAUUCACCCACAGGGUAGACAGAGCAACCCCAUGGCAGGAGUGGAUGUGUUCAACCCUCCACAUAGGGCAGCCAAUGAGAAGAAAAACACAGUCCACCACACUUCAACAUGUUUGAAUUUUGGUCCUUUUUCAAUGACAUUCCUAUUUGAGAUCUCUUCUGACGGCUUUAGGGCCAUUCCUAAGAUUCAGAGAGCAGUGUAGCGUGACUCACUGUAUGCCCCUGGCAAGGACUGAGUGUGGCCCACAAAGCCUAGAAUAUUUAUUUUCUGACUCUUUCCAAAAGAGUUUGUCAACCCCCAGAAUAAAACUAAAUUUGGAGGCCAGGUGUGAUGGCUCAAACCUAUAAUCCUAGCACUUUGGGAGUCAAAGGCAAGAGGAUCCCUUCAGCCCAGGGGUUCAAGACCAGCCUGGGAGAACUUGUCUCUGAAAAAUAAUUAAUUAAUUAAUUAAUUAAUUUAAAAAAAAAAAAAACCUUAAAUGUGGGAUUGGUCCUGGAAGCUUGGUUUCAUUGGCACUGGGAGCAAUUAUGUCCAUCCCAGAUGAAAUCAGCUUCUACAAGUAACAAAUCUCACCUUUAAAGCCAGCGGUUACUAAUCAGUGUAGAAUUACUCCUCUAGAAUCUGGAGUCCAGACGCCACUCCAGUGAAUCUGUGUAUCCAUGUUCCUGGUGUUGCACUUACCACACAGGAUUAUAAUUACAAUUUUAUGUCCCACAAACAGACUAUGGUAACAUCCCAUACUCAGCCCAGUGCUUGACAAAGGUAUUUUUGUAACUGUUUUUGAUUGAAUUAAACUAAACUAUGGGCAUGCAGAG
rnacentral:lncRNA from 1 species